GGGAUGUUUGGAAAUGCUCGGGUAGCAUGAAUAUUGUAGUCAGAAGCUGUUUUAUGAGUGAGCAAAACGCCCAUGGGAUAACUGGCUCGUGCUGGUAACAUUUCGUCGACGAAGCUGAUAAAAUUAGCGUAAUUAUAGUGUGAAUUAUGCUGAACAGCUUGCCCAGCCUUCCAUCGUCAUGCUGUGGGAUUCGUCUGCGCAUCAAAGUGCAAACAUUUGCGAUUUUUUAAUAGUUUCCAUCUUUUUAGAAAGAACUAGAUUAAUUAUGGUGUGAAGUAUGCUGAAAAGCUUGGUCAGAUAUUCACUGACAGUGGGAUUCGUUUAUGCAUCCAAUGGCUAAUAAUUGCGAUUCCUAUUAGCCACCAUUGUCACAUAUUUUGAGGGUAAUUCCACGCCACUGCAACAACUUCAUUUCCGCCCAAAUAAAUCCCAUGACCUUUUCCAACUGCAAUAGGAUGCAACAAUUACAUUGAUGACCAUAAACCCCCUAACGUUUACGAGCGAAUUCCGAACGCAUCGCUAGAGCUAAAACUAGCAAGAGUGAAACUUUGCUAUGUAUCCUCAUGUUGUACUCGUAUCACUUGUUACGGUUAAAAUCAGCCUGGCUCAAACACCAGAUUAACGUAGUUUCACAGAAAUGAGUGCGAUCCGAAAAAAAACAAACAAGAUCGAACACACCCGAGUUUUUUUUAUCAUAAGUUGGAAAAAUAUU